rnacentral:lncRNA from 1 species
CUAAGAUUCUGACUGGAAUAGUAGAUACUUCCUCGUAAACAGAUUGAGGAAGCUGUCAUAUCCACAUUUGCUUGGAGACAGGUUCAUUCAUAGGAAAAUAGGAGGAGGACACAAGACUAUGUAUCUCUGUGUCAGACAUAGAAUGUCGACAUUACAAAGACCGUUAGCACCUCUUGGUGAAUCACUGCAAAAUCCCACUCCUGAAAGGGUUGCAGUUGGAGCUCGGCAAUUGUGGCGCCAGCGUGUGAUUGUGGCAAGACAGCCUGACCGCUCAAAAAUGGCUGAGCUAACAAGGACAGGAGAGCAAGCGAGGUUUGCAGCUUUUGCAAGUGUUGACAAAGAAGAAGCGGCGAACGCAAAAGGGCGGGGAGAGAGUGGAAUGUGGAGUGGACAAUCCAAUUCUUUCUGUUGUUUGGUCAGCCCUUGAGUGGCCUGCACUGCUGAUGCUGUGUAGUUGUUUUGUGGUAAGAACGCCCUGAGGGAAACACAGUGGGACACAGGGUGUUAUGGUUCAGCUGUGUUUGCUUGCUUACAACCCGAGGAAGAGGGAAAAAAAAGAAAUAACAGACAUAAAAUCAAUGAUGAGCCUGUUAGUGGAGGUUUAAAAGAGAACGUUUAGAGAGGAUCUCUGGGUGUAAGGUGAUGUAGUUCCAGUCUGUAAAAAGCAUGCGGUCCAUCUAAGAGAAGGAGGGACGCAGCAGGCUCUGUGUAGAACUGAUUUUUUGUAAAAGCAUUGGACUGAUAAAGCCACGAGACAUGUGAGCUUUAGCACUUGUGUUGAUCUGUUUUUAGGGUGUUUAUGUG